rnacentral:lncRNA from 1 species
AUUAGGCAUACAGGCAUUCCAACCUAUUUUAGUGGAAGGAUGUGCUAUUUAUUUACAUCCAUUAGUUCAUAAGGGAUUCAAUGCAGAUUUUGAUGGGGAUCAAAUGGCUGUUCAUGUACCUUUAUCUUUGGAGGCUCAAUCGGAGGCUCGUUUACUUAUGUUUUCUCAUAUGAAUCUCUUGUCUCUAGUCAUUGGGGAUCCAUUUUCGUACCAACUCAAGAUAUGCUUAUUCCUGUGCACACCACACAAACCGGCAACCCAUGAUCUUGAAGAGUUGAAAUCAAGCAAUUCUGUUUUGGUAAACUAAUUUUAUCAUUGCAUGCUUUAAAAGAUUGACCUGAUUAAGAAGAUUCAUUACAUACACGGUAUAAGAAAGUUGUCUUAUUAUCAUGUGUCAUUGGAUUAUAAGACCAGGCAAACAGACAUCCUUACACACCAAAGAACAAUCUAAUACUAUUUUGUAAUGACUUGCUCUUUCCCGUGUAGAUAUUAUCCGUACUAGAUCUAAUAAGUUAUCCUGAUUUAAGAAAGUGUGUACAUAAUUAAGAUGAGUUCACGGUAUACAUGUAUAAAGUGCCUUCUCCGUUUGUUCCACAUGAAAGUGUAGAGAAAUGAAAUCCAGCACGGCAAGUAAAAAACAAUAAUAAUAAUCCUUGUCAUAGAAAGGAAGAUUGGUUUAAAAAACAAGGCCGUUGAGGUGGAUUUCCAUGUCAUUGUCCCUCUCGCUGUCUAAGAUUAAACUGUCCACUGUUCAUCACAGGGGAUCUUCCCUCCGAAGCCGGCAAUUGCCUUGUUGGGUGUUGCUAGUGACUAAUUUUCAAAUCAGUUUAGACUUCACAUAUUUUAAAUAAGAUGACUUGAGCUGUAUAGAAAAGGAGAUAUAUUUUCAUGCAUAGAUCCAAUCCUUCUCAUUUUUUCUUUUGGGUAGGAAUGUGGCAUGGUAUUGACAUUUUUGUUCCGACAUUGGGCUCGUGUGCUCGUGACAGACGACAGCGAGGGUACGAAGAGAGUAAAACAAUCACAGACUGCACAGGACAUGAAAAACUCAACGAGGCUAGCGUGUGCGUAUUACAAAGACAAGCAAAUUAGCUGGCGAGAAAUCUAACAGUUAUCUUCAAAUUCAUGAACUAUGGAGUUUGUGCACACUAGAAUACAACAUACAAAAGUUAAAUCAGCCACGCACAUGAAGCCAUUGAAAAGAGGGUUAGAUUUGUCUUUUGGGAAGUAAAGAAAAGAAAGGGAAUUUGAAGCCUUGUGGUUGUUGAACUACAAAGUAACAAAGCAAGGGAUUGGGUUGUUGAAAGUUGAAACCUGAAGGCCAUACCUUUGUGCGAGCCACUUGAAUUGAAGGCCGUUGGAUCACAUGUGACAUGCCAUUGAUCUCUAAAGUUAAUCUUAUAAGUCCCUUGGACCCGUGGGAUGCUGCCUUGUCCUCAGGGUCACAUGACUUGAUUUUCCUACCAAUUAUCUUAUUUAGGUUUUCAUGAGGAAUAUCUUUCCACGGAGACAGAAUAUAUCUCGAAAGCAUUAUUAGCAAGACAAAGACGAUAACGUCAUCUAUCCCAUUCAACAUCAAAUUGAAUUUAAGGUAGAAACCUUUAUUUCAUAUAGUUCUCUCACUUGCGACCUCCGGGAAGCUCUUGAGGUAGCAAUUCAUCUCGUUGGACGUGGUUCGUUUCCUGCCUCACAUUGGAUUAAAUUACAUCAUUUCAAAUGAUAAGAUAUAAAUUAAAAUAUAAUUUAAUUAUUAAAUAAUUCUCUAAGUCUUACGGGAAAUUUCUUAAGUCAAUAUGAUCUUUUACACCUUCAAAAACCACAAUAUAAUCAAUUUUCAUGUCUUUUGAGUUUAGAGUAAAUAAUAUCUAUAUAAUUCAAUACGGAUCAAUAUAAAUAGUAUUAGAGUCAAUUCUCAACCCUGAUGUAGAGUUUUGUUUAACUUUAUGAGGGGUAUUUAUUUGUUUAAUUCCAUGAUAUAGUGAAAUAUAAUUAUGGAUCAUUAUAAAUAGUAUCAAAGUCAAUUUUCAACUCCGAUGUAAAGUUUUAUUUAACCCUUUGUGGGGUAUUUGUUUGAUUUUAUAAUCCCGUGAAAUAUAUAUAGGAUUCUGUAUUUAUUUAAAAGAUGUUUGUAAUAUCUCACAUUUUACGACGGAAAAAAACUUCUUAAUACUAUAUAAAUAUGAACUCUUUAAUGUUAAUAGGAUUAACCUUUUAUAUUUAUAAUUUAAUUCACCUGUUAAUUUGAAUAAAUCAAAUAUAUAUGGAAGAGAUGGAGAUUAUAAUUAGGAUAAUUAAUAUAAUGAUUAUUAAAUUGAUUUUCGAAUUAAAUAAUUAAUUUGGUUUCAAAACACAAAUUGAAUCUGAUUCCACACGAAUUUUAUCGAAAUAUGAUUGUACUCUAUCCAAGUGUGGCUUUUUCUUUUUGUUUUCCAAAAGCUAAAAAUAUAAUUUAUUUUAUUUUAUUUUAAAAUUUGGCCCAGUGCGGGCCCCUGGGGGCCAAGGCGACGGACUAACAGCUAAGAGGAAUUAAUGACUAAUACUAGUCAGCAGGGAGGUGGCGGAAUUAAUAACUAGUACUAGUUAGCAGGCAGGUGGCUGCGAGUGGUGACUAAUGCGAAGCAGUGGAGCAGUGGAGGAGGACCUAAUUGAACGUCAACUCUGAAACUAAAACCAGAGAAAGAAGGAGAAAAACAAUGGCACAGCCAUGGAAGAAGAAAACAUGUUACUGGAUGAAGGCGAUGCUUCUUGCUUUGUGGUUUUCUGGGAUCCAUGUGUUGGCUGAUGCGGCUGCAGCUGUUUCCAAGGAACAAAAUCAAUUGCGGUUCAGCAAGGAGGGGCAGUUCAAGAUACUACAAGUUGCGGACAUGCACUUUGGUGAUGGCAAGUCCACCCCUUGCCUGAAUGUUCUCCCUAAUCAGAUGCGCGGUUGCUCCGACCUCAACACUUCCGCUUUCAUUCAUCGCAUGAUCCAAGCUGAGAAGCCUCAUCUCAUUGUUUUCACUGGUAUUUUCUUCCAUUUUCUUUAUCAUUGUGUUUCUUACCAUCUGUUUGGGAAAUUAGAGAGCCGAGUGAAUUCCCAUCUCCCAAGAAUUUUCCCCAAAACCCCUAAAGCCUUGUAAUUGGAGUUGAUUUAUGCAGGCGAUAACAUAUUCGGAUUUGACGCCAAAGAUGCAGUGGCGUCUUUGAAUGCUGCAUUCGCACCUGCACUAUCAUCAAACAUACCCUGGGCUGCUGUUCUCGGCAACCACGACCAGGAAUCCACUCUCUCAAGGGAAGGGGUGAUGAAAUAUAUAGUCGGCAUGAAACACUCCCUGUCUCAGUUGAAUCCCCCCGGGGUUAACAUUAUUGAUGGUUUUGGGAACUAUAAUCUGGAGGUUAGCGGGGUUGAGGGUUCUAGUUUACAUAACAAAUCAGUUCUCAAUCUCUAUUUCCUGGAUAGCGGGGAUUACUCCACGGUUCCCUCUAUCUUUGGCUAUGGCUGGAUCAAACCCUCUCAGCAAUUUUGGUUUCAGCGCACUUCUAAGAAGCUUCGGGUACUAAUUUUGCGUUUUCCGAGAGCAUUUUUCCCAUUUCUAUGGUCCUCACCAUGCCCAUUCAAUUGGGUAUUCCGUAGCCUCAAGUAGAAUUAUCAUAGAUUUUAUGCCUUAUAAGCCAUAACUCUGUUCAUUUACCACUGCCCUUUCUAAUGCAGAGAGCAUACAUGAGCAAUCCGGAGGGUCAGAAAUCAGCUGCACCAGGUCUAGCAUACUUUCAUAUCCCGUUGCCCGAAAGUGCGAGUUUUGACUCAUCAAACUUCACGGGUGUAAAACAAGAAGGCAUCAGCUCUGCUUCUGUGAAUUCAGGCUUCUUCACAACCAUGGUGGAAGCAGGGGAUGUGAAGGCUGCGUUCACUGGACAUGAUCAUGUCAAUGACUUCUGUGGAGAGCUACUUGGUAUACAUCUUUGCUAUGCUGGAGGGUUCGGGUACCAUGCCUAUGGGAAAGCUGGAUGGGCGAGGAGGGCUCGGGUUGUGUUGGCAACUUUGGAAGAAAGGGAGAAGGGAGGGUGGGGAGAAGUUAAGUCUAUCAAGACGUGGAAGCGGCUUGAUGAUAAACACCUUACUGUUAUCGAUGCUCAGGUCCUCUGGAGCAAGACCUCUGCUGGUAAGCUUCUACUCAAGUACCUUCUUGGUCACACUCUUGCAUUGGUCUUUUUAGCUUGUUAUAGUGGAGAGCAAUCAGCUCUGGAACAUCUAAGAAGUGUGUUUCAUAUCAUCCUGUCUGCAUCUGUCUCUUCCAAUUGCCUGAUUUUAAUGGAUCAUUCAGUGGUAUCCUGUGGAAACUCAAUGGUUUUCUAGUAAAAUACUUCAUAUUAUCUUUGAAAAGAGACCAUACAUGCAGAUAAUUUCUGUGCAAGUGUUUUCACAUCUGCCUUGGUGAUGCCAGAACAUAAUGAUCUUAUUUUCAUCUUCUUUCCUGGCCUCCACUAGAUGGUCGAGAUAUAAAUGAAUCAAGGAUUCUCCUACUUCAUUUAUUUUUUCACCCACUAUGGCAAAAUCUGUUUGCCCACCAACUUCACAUCACAAUUCAUUUUCUUUUGGGAUCCCUGUGUGAAUCACCUUGUAUCAGUGUUCUUGUUGUAUGGAUUUAUGAGUUUUGUGAUAUUCUCCUAUCUCAUUCACUGAAUUGAUUUGCCAAACACACCAAAAAUAAAUGUUGCUAAUUUUUCUAAAAAAUUAUCAUAACUGCCAUCAGGUGUAUGCCAUUUGCCUAAUCAAUCAUUUUUUUUUUCUCAAAGUUAACAUUUGAAUCUGUUUUCCAUUCCAUGCCAUCAGAAUGCUCACAUUUACUCUUUAUUUUUGGUUUGCAUUGAACAGGAAGCCGUAGAAAGAAAAAGAUUGGUGGCAUUUAAGUGAUUAACACGUAUUUGCAGCAAAGAUAAGCCAUCAACUUAGCUGUGAGAAAGUAAGCUUCAAAUAUCAGUUCAAAGGAAUCUUCUCUUGAUGUUGUUUUAUAGUUUUAUUUCAAGGACUUGUAUGUCUAAGACAUAAAGAAAACACAUGAGUAUUUUACAGGACAAUAAAUGAAAAACUAUUAUAAAGGAAGUUAAAGAUAUCAUCAGUAAUCAGUAAGUGGAUGUCAUCUAAUUGCAAUUCAUGCACGGUAGUUUUGUCAAAGAACCUUUUGAUGCAUGAAUGAUUAGAGAACAUAGUCCACAAAGUUGAGAAACUUCUUUGAUUCUUAAUAGUUCAUGCAAUGUACUAUUCAGUAUCAUUACCAUCCAAAACCUGUUCAUCCUCAACUUUCUCAGACUGCAGACUAGAAGAAUGGACAACUAGAUUGACUUUCAUCUCCUAACAACCUACAAAUAGUCAUAAAUCAAGACAAUAUCAGGAGCUUAAGUUUAGCUCUUGUCAGAGCUUGGUCAUGUACACAAUUUAAGCCAAAAAAAGGCUGUUGGGAGUAUAAAGAACUGGGAUAAAAACUAAAACAAGGCCAAAAUCUCUGCAAAAAUGAUCAUUUUGAAUAAUCAAGAAGCCACAUAUGUUUUUGAGGACUACUAAUAGUUGCAGGUGGACUCCAAAAAUUUUGUUUGGUGAUAGGAGUUUUGGUUCUGGAGCACUGAAAGAAACUUGAACCAUUGGAUGAAGUAUCAUAUUUCAUGUCUUUUAUGCAGAGUAUGUAGAUGAAGAAAGAUUUCAAGUUAUUGGAUCAUUCUUGUAAUCAGACACUUGUGGUGGUGAUCCAUUCCCAAAUUCUCUCUAUUAUGUCAUAACCUGAAACGUGGAAGAAAGAAAACCAAGUGAUCAUUCUUAUUCUUACAAGUUGGUUUUGGGGCUUAAUAUGCCAUCUACCAACUGGUUCAACAGAAGUCCAAACUUUCAAUUUGAUUGUGAUUGUCACUAUUGAGUUGUUGUUUGAUUGUUCAAAUGACAUACAUGAAAUGGCUCUUUGCCAUGAACAAUUGAUCGGGAAGUUUUCUGAACAAUGGUUCAAAACUAUAAUUAUGGUCAGAUUAUUUUGUUAUUAUUGGAAUGUUCACAUAUAUGGUUAAUUUUGAUACAGCAGUCCAUCGGCUUUUAGAUUUACAUUUAUAUUGUGCUGUUGGAUAAUGCUAUAUGAUCUGUUUUGGUGAAUUCCAUACAGCUAAAAAUGAUUGACUUCAAAUCACCAUUCUUGACCAGCCAAUAUCACACUGAGCCCCCGAGAAUUUCAAACAGGUUCUUCAAAUUCACGAGUUCCUGCAAGAACAUUCCCAGAAAGUAUUUUCCGUUUUAACUAUGAUAAGGUGAUCUGUGAUGAAAUCGAGUGUCAUAUGUCUAAAUAACAAAAUCCAUUUACCAAGGGGUACAUUGUAAGAAUGAAAAAGAAAUAGAAUUAAAACCUUUCUACCUGCUCUAAUAUUCAAAAUAUAGUCAUAUAUUCAUCUGUUAACCCUAAAUCAUGGUUAUACAACAGGAUUUGUUUUCGAUUGAUGUGUAUUUAUUAUGCUGAUUUAUUGACCUUGUUCCUUCAUUUCGUCUUUUUUUUUCCCUUCUUAUUUCCUUUUUUCUAUGACUACAUUUCAAUUCUUAGAUUAUUAACAGUACAUCAAAGUUUUCAUCUGCUUCGACAUUUGUUCAACAAAAUAGUGUUGAGGACAUUAGCAUUUCCCUAAGGCUACAUCUGGUUUCAUGAGAGUUUGAGAAAAAGAAAAUAGGAAGGAAAAACAUAAGAAAAAGGAAAAGAAAAUUUACAAUAUUUUUACGUUGUUUGGUUGUCUGGCGAAAAGUUUUAGGAAAACAAAAUUAAGGUUAUAUUUGGUUUCUGGAAAGUAUUAAGAAAAAAAAGUUAAAAAAAAUGAUUUUCUCAUACUCAAUCGCAUUAUUGAAUAAAUGAAAAAAAAUCAAAUAUCAUUAAAAUUUUCCUUCCUUGUUAGAAAACGAUAAAUUUUUCGGUACUUUUGUAAAUGAUAGGCUCAUUGGGAUCAUAUAAAUUUUAAACACCACGACUCAAGUGAGCAAGAGUGGUGGACUCUGCGAGUUGACGGAGCCUCACGCUCAUCAGGCUCCGGAGUGGGGCUCGUACUACAGUCCCCAACUGGGGAACAUCUGGAGCAAGCCAUCCGGCUGGGAUUCUCUGCAUCUAACAAUGAAGCAGAAUACGAGGCUAUCCUGUCCGGAUUGGACCUCGCUCUUGCUCUAUCCGUCUCCAAACUCCGGAUCUACAGCGAUUCACAACUCGUGGUAAGACAUGUCCAGAAGGAAUAUGAGGCCAAGGACGCAUGCAUGGCGCGAUAUUUGGCUAAAGUAAGAAACACCUUGCAAUAAUUCACCGAAUGGACAAUCGAAAAAAUCAAGCGAACUGACAAUGGGCGCGCUGACGCCUUGGCUGGCGUAGCUGCUUCCCUCCCAAUCAAAGAAGCCAUUCUAUUGCCUGUACAUGUGCAAGCCAAUCCCUCUGUCGAAGAAAUCUCCGCUUGCAACACCAUUGAGGCAAAUCAAGCAGACGAUCAAGAAUGGACGUAUAACAUUGCAGAAUAUCUCCGGACAGGGAUUCUACCCGGAGAUACUAAACAGGCGCACAAAAUCCGGGUGCAAGCUGCCCGUUUCACACUGAUUGGGGGGCACCUGUACAAACGAUCCUUCACGGGACCUUACCUUCGGUGCUUAGGGCAUUCAGAGUCCCAGUAUGUGUUAGCUGAAUUGCAUGAGGGAAUAUGCGGAAAUCAUUCCGGAGGACGAUCUCUAGCACAUAGAGCUCAUUCGCAAGGAUACUAUUGGCCAACAAUGAAGAAAGACGCGGCAGCAUAUGUCCAGAAAUGUGAUAAAUGUUAAAGUUACGCCCCCAUUCCACAUAUGCCAUCAGCAAUGUUGAAGUCAAUCUCAGGCCCAUGGCCCUUUGCGCAGUGGGGCAUGGACAUAGUAGGACCCCUUCCAGCAGCACCUGCCCAGAAGAAGUUCCUCCUUGUUGCCACUGAUUACUUUAGUAAAUGGGUAGAAGCCGAAGCAUAUGCUACCAUCAAAGACAAAGAUGUCACCAAGUUCGUGUGGAAAAACAUUGUUUGUCGUUUUGGAAUGCCCCAAACUAUUGUAGCUGAUAAUGGUCCACAAUUUGACAGCACUGCAUUUAGGAAUUUAUGUUCGGAACUAAACAUCCGGAAUUCAUACUCCACACGCAUUAUCCUCAAAGCAAUGGCCAAGCAGAAGCCACAAACAAGACCCUAAUCAAUGCCUUAAAGAAAAGGCAUGAACAAGCCAAAGGGAAGUGGGUGGAGGAGCUACCCGGCGUACUAUGGGCCUAUCGAACUACACCCGGACGACCAACAGGAAACACUCCUUUCGCCCUCGCAUAUGGAAUGGAUGCAGUCAUUCCUACUGAAAUCGGUCUUCCUACUAUCCGGACUGAUGCAACAAAACAAAAUGAUGCAAACACGGAAUUAGGGAGAAAUUUUGAUUGGACAAAUGAAGUGAGGGAAAAUGCAGCCAUCCGUAUGGCAGACUAUCAACAAAGGGCAUCAACGCAUUACAAUCGCAAAGUGAAGCCCAGAAGCUUCAAAAAUGGUACGCUAGUACUUAGAAAAGUUUUUGAAAACACUGCUGAAAUAGGCGCAGGGAAGUUACAAGCUAACUGGGAAGGACCCUAUAUAGUGUCUAAAGCAUGUGAAAAUGGAGCCUAUCAUUUACAAAAGUUAGACGUGAUGAUGCUUUUUAUUACCAUCAAAUAUCAUUUUUAUUUUCGAUUCAAAGCAGCAAUAGUUAUCAAUGAUGGAAAAGAUGAAGAACAGUUAAUGUUAUCAUUGUGUAAAUGAUAACCCAUUACACCAUCAGUGUGAUGUAUAAUAAGAUUUUAACAUAUAAUAGUUAAGAUUAAGCAUAACAGAUUUUAACGUUGAUAGAAUCAGUCUAUGAAAAUGUCAUUUAGCCAUAAUCUAAUUUUUUAUUACCAUUGGAGAUUGUUUCAACGUGAGUUUAUUUAUACUAUUAAUGAAACAAAUCCAUGUUUCAGGAAGAACAGUUAUCAAAGAUGUCAUUUCUAUCAAUAAUCUAAUAUGAGAUUCUAUGUAAAUAUCAUUUUUGAAAACACUGCUGAAAUAGGCCCAAUUUAUCAUUUGCCCGUGAAAAUUUGUAAAUAGAACCGACGAUGUCGUCGUAAAAUGAGAAACCAAAUGAAGAAAGAAUAAACUUCCAUAAAACCUAGAUGGUGUCUAAACGAUGAAAAACCAAAGGAUCAUGUCCCAAUGAUUAGUUAUAAAUGGAAAAAAGGAAUGAGCUUAGAUAGAACCUAGAAAGUUGUCCCAAUGACGAAAAACGAGUAGAGCAAAUAAAUGAACUUAGAUAAAAUUUAGAUGGCGUCCAGUAACAAAAAACAACAAGGAUGAAGAAUAAACAUAGAUAGAACCUACGAUGGUUUCUAAACAAUGAGAAAUUAAAGGAACAAAAUAUUAAGCUUAGAUAGGGCCUGUCCGCGUUCCAAUGAUCACAAACCAAGGUAAAGAAUAAAUGACCUUAGAAAGAACAUACGAUGUCCCAAAAUGAGAAAAUAUCUUAAUGAACUCGAUGUUGUUGAAGAUACUCUUGACUGGAAACAAUUCAAGAUGAUAUCACUGAUAGAAAUGUCUCCUUAAGAUUGAGUCCUCGGGAGGAUGAUGGAAAUUAGUGUUAUCAUUGUGUAAUAUUAUUACCAUCAAAUAUUAUAUUAUGGCUAAAUGACAUUUUCACAGACUGAUUCUAUCAACGUUAAAAUCUGUUAUGCUUAAUCUUAACAGAACCAGUUUCUAUAAGGACUGCUUCAUAAAACUCUCUUGUUUUUAAAAUAUCACCAGAGGGAUAAUGAAAAUUUUCUUGAAAAGCUUUUGCAGCAAUCUCUCUGGGGUUUUCAGAGAAAAAUUAUCUUUCAAUAACCAAAAGAGAUUGAUUUAAAUCAUUUUGCCAAUAUCUUGAUUUUGUUGAAAGAUGUGUGGGGUUGGCAGCCACCACAAUUUGUUUGCUUGAAAAAGAAGAACUUGUUGCUAAUUCCUUUUGAGAGGGAUUAGCCUUAGUAACCUGCUUAAAGGUCUGAGACCCUGAGGUAGCUGGAUAUUGUGUUGCCUUAACUGGUUUAGAAUGAUCAGAAGGAUCAUAGUAUAAGGUCAACAUUUUGUUAGACAUAUGACUGGAUUCAUGCAUAGGUUUAGAAGAAUGAAGCUUUGCCAAAAGUUGUGCUUCUUCCUCUUCAACUUGUUGACUCCAAAGCAUUUUAUGGGUAGAAGGAGAUUGGUUAGCUUGACUGGAUUGGGGCUUUUGAGAGCUAGAAGCUUGGGUAUUCUUUUUAGGGGCCAUGAUCUCAUGAACCCUGCAAAAUUCACGAGAUAGCUAAUUAGGGCUGAAAUAAUCUCCUUUAAUAAAGUAACUUUGAAACUUAGAUUUUAAAAUAAUAUACCAGUUAAUUAAAUCAUACUUAAAAGUUAUAUAUUUAAUUGUUUCAAAAUCUUUGAAAACAAUUUUUAAUAAAAAAUCUUGAUUCAAAAUCCCAAUUUGAAAUUUUGAAAUGCAUAAAGAAAUGCUUAAAAUAUCAUUUAUAAUGAGAUUAUGAAUGAAUUGGGUACUUAAAAUCUUAGGUGGAUCAUUAAUUCUAACAAGAUUAAUCUCUUGAUCACAACGAGUGAUGCUUUCAACAGGAUUAGCAAAUUCAAAAAGAAUUUCCUUAUCAAAAAGCUUAGUUCUUAUACCUUGGUUAUCUACCCACAACGGAUAAAUAGAACUUAAGAAGGGUAUUCCUAGGAGGGCUUUUUCAUUAAGAUCCUUAACACUGGGGCUUAGAAAUUAGUGACAGUUUUUCGGUACUCGAACGGAUUUUACCUUUUGUCGGUACUCGCCCGGAUUAAACAAUUUUUCGGUACUCAGACUGAUUCUACCAUUUUUCCGUACUAGUCCGGACAGUUUUUCGGCACUCGCACGGAUUCCACCUUUUGUCGGUACUCGCCCGGAUUCAACAAUUUUCCGGUACUCACACUGAUUCUACCAUUUUUUCGUACUGGUCCGGACAGUUUUAAGGUGCUCGCACGGAUUCCACCUUUUCCCGGUACUCUUUCGGAUUCAACAAUUUUCCUCUACUCACACUGAUUCUACCAUUUUUUCGUACUGGUCCGGACAGUUUUAAGGUACUAGCACGGAUUCCACCUUUUCCCGGUACUCGCCCGGAUUCAACAAUUUUCCGGUGCUCACACUGAUUCUACCAUUUUUCUGUAGUGGUCCGGACAGUUUUUCGGUACUCGCAUGGAUUCCACAUUUUGUAGGUACUCGCCCGGAUUCAACAAUUUUCCGGUACUCACACUGAUUCUACCAUUUUUUCGUAAUUGUCCGGACAAUUGUAAGGUACUCGCAUGGAUGCCACCUUUUCCCGGUACUCAUCCGGAUUAAACAAUUUUCCGCUACUCACACUGAUGCUACCAUUUUUUCGUACUGGUCUGGACAAUUUUUCGGUACUCGCACGGAUUCCACCUUUUGUCGGUACUCGCCCGGAUUCAACAAUUUUUCGGUACUCACACCGAUUCUACCAUUUUUCCGUAUUGGUCCGGACAGUUUUAAGGUACUCGCACGGAUUCCACCUUUUCCCGGUACUCGCCCGAAUUCAACAAUUUUCCGGUGCUCACACUGAUUCUACCAUUUUUCCGUAGUGGUCCGGACAGUUUUUCGGUACUCGCACGGAUUCCACCUUUUGUAGGUACUCGCCCGGAUUCAAACACUCUUGGUAUAAAGUCGAGCAAAACCAAGGAAAAUGAUGAGGUAGUAGCAAAUCUACAAUGCUUACUUUCAUUCUUUGGUAUCUAUGAAAUGCUGCAACUUUUUGAGGAAACACAAAUUGCAUUGAUGUAGAUACAUAGAAAUCCAUCACUCUAUGCUACAAAAAUAAAGGGAGCAAAACAAUUUGAGAACAAAUGCCACAAUUGUGCAACAUGUUGUGCAACCAUCACUUUCACCAGUGAUGAUGAAAAAAGCAUGACAUCAAAUUUUACCACAAUUGUUUUCAAACCUCGACAUUCCAAUUAUGCUCCUUAAAGCAUGAACCUAAAAUGCAUAUUGUUUCUAUCCUAUAAGAGCUUAAACUAUAGUAUUAAAAAAAAAAAAUCAAGCUUAUGGCAAAAAUAAAAAUAAAAAAAUCUUUUUUGACAAUCUUUUUAAACUAAGGAACAAACUCUUUGUAUUAAAGAAGUCAAAUUCAUAGAUUCUAAACUAAAAUCUCCAACUUCUCUAAAUAAAAGUGUUAUUUUCUUUUAACAUGACAAGUUCUCAAAAUGGCAAUGCAACCCAGAAGCUAAAUCCAAAAAUGAAGGUUCAAAAGUCAUGAUCAAACUCCAAACAUUUUUCAACAAGCUCGUGGAAGAAUAUCAAGCACCAUACAAAAUUGUCAUUCAUCCACCUUCAAAGCUAAAGAAAAUAAGGUUAGGUUCUUCAAAACACUUCAGGAAAUUAUUGAUAAGUUUACUUGAGAUUAGGUCAUCCUUGACCAUCAAUUAAACUUUGCUCCAAGAACACGUGUUUACUACCCUUGGAUUAAAGUCAAGUCUAAGCUCGACACAUUUUUCAACAAUCCUAUGGAAGAAUAUCAAACACAAUACAAAAGUGUCAUUCAUCCAUCUUCAAGGAUGAAAAUCAAGAUGAAUUCAAAGGACCUUAUUUUGUUCUCCAAAAUGCUUAAGAAAGGUCUUCACAAGUUUGGUUGAGAAUAAGUCAUCUUUGACCAUCAAUUAAACUUUGUUUGUGGAAUUGCCUAAGAUUAUAUCAGAAGAUCAAUUGACCGAUAUCCUCACCAAAGCUGUCUCAAGUCAAGUGUUCUCAAAAUUUUUAGAUAAGUUGGGCAUGUGUGACAUCUAUGCACCAACUUGAGGGGGAGUGUUAAGAUAUUAGAAAUGUUUUCCAUAUAUCAUUCUUUCCUUAUAUUAUUUAGUGUUGAGAUAUUAGGAAUGUUUAAAUAUUAGGAAAGUUGAGAUAUUAAGAAUAUUGAGAUAUUAGGAAUAUUGAGAUAUUAGGAAAGUUGAGAUAUUAAGAUAUUAGUUGUUAUUUCCUUAUAUCAUUCUUUCCUUGUAUCAUUCCUUCCCAUUCUUAGAAUGGUGAUUACCCUCUAUAUAUUCUCUGUACAUGAACGAAUGAAAGUAUGAAUGAAAAAACUAUCAUUUAUCAAUUUGAACAAAAUUCACUUUAUUGAGUUUAUCCUAAUAGUAUGAUGUUGAAAACUCAAGCCUGACUCACAUAUACCAAGUUGUUUACUUAGCUUGUUGAAUCGUGAAACAUGAAUCAUUCCUAUUGCGCUACAAAGGGGAUAUCAGGGGUGCUUGUGAAUUUUGUUUCUUAUAUUUGUUGAAUGAUGAGUUUGUCCUUAUUGUGUUUUUAACUCUUUUAUUAUUUAAGGCUUUGUUUUAGAGAGUACACUUGUGAAUUAGCGUUUAUCAUCAUAAUCCUUUACAAGAAAGUAAGCGGUGCAACUAGCUAAGUCCUUAGGCUUAUUUAAAUAAAGAUUCCAAUUGGACAAGUCAAAUUAAUCGGGUUAGAGAAAGAAGACAGGAUAAGAACCCUAACCCUUGUGUCAUAAGGCUGCAAAGGCACUAUCAAGGAGAGGCUUUUGAGAGAGAUACAGGUGAAGUGGAGCCUUUAAUGCUUGGAGUGCUCAUCACACAAAUAGGGGCUCAUCACACAAAUUUUAAACACUUUUACCCUAAACAGAUCAUAUAAAUUGAAUUGCUGAUAUGUCCACGGGCAAAUGAUCGCUGAAACUCGCUGAAACUCACACUAACAAAGAUCCAAUCCACCAUAGCGCAUUGGAUAUUGGUCUUCUAACUUACACUGGGGUACUUCUAGAGAACUCCAAGUCUCCAAGCAUACGCCUCUAUUUCAGGCAUGCCUAUUUGGUUCACUUCCAAGAGUAGCAUGUUAGAGACAUAUCAAAUACACAUACCCACGUCGUGCCAUGUAAAGGUACUUCACAUGUUGAAUAUUGUGUGCAACAUAGGUGGGAGCUGUGGGAUGUAACCCCCGAUCACAUCAACUUGGAAAACAGUUUACUAUGACAAUUUCCUUAAAGGUUCACUUUCUUAGUGUAGCAGAACAAAACGCCAACAGGUUGUUUCAUUAGUUGACUUAUAACCUAUUGAUGAAAUCUCUAAAAGGGAAAUCAGAGCUGUCUGUAUCUUCACGUGUUCUUUGUUGGAAAUGGGAAUAAAGAAUUAGAAUCUUCUCUUUGGGAUGUAAUAUCCAAACAAUGAAAAGAACGAUGAUGCCUAAGAAUCAUGGUUUGAUGCUUCUUCCAACAAUGUGUCCUUGUUAUAGACUAUAGACUCACAUGUGUUUGCAGCCUGCUAAUACCUAUGAUAAAAUCAUCAAUUGCAUCCUUUGAUUAUGACUAUGCAUCUUUUCCUGAGUUAGAAGAAUCUGCGAGAUCCGUGUCUCUCUCAAAGAUAUUACAGGCUAUUCCCUUCUUCAGCUCUGUCAUUCAUUUUCAAACUCCAUAUCAGUCGAGAGAAAAUUUGAUUGAUUUGCUAGACAAGGUAUUAUUUAUUAUAACAAUUUUUUAGGCCAUGUAUCUGUGCUAUGCACUAUGUGGAGUUGGCCGAACCAAGGCACACAAUUGGUAAAAAUUGGAGAGAAAGAGCAUGGUCCAACUGAUGUGAUUUAUGAAGCUUGAAUUUAUUCGAAGGAAAAUGCUUUGUUGCAAGAGUCACAAGCCAUGCCCAACUGGCAUGAGUUUAAUUAAGGGUCAUAUUCCUUUUCUUAGCCAUUGCUUGGUGUUCAGGUCACACGGAUGUUGGACCUCUAGAGUUCACAAGUAGGGGUGAUUAGGCAUACAGGCAUUCCAACCUAUUUUAGUGGAAGGAUGUGCUAUUUGUUUACAUCCAUUAGUUCAUAAGGGAUUCAAUGCAGAUUUUGAUGGGGAUCAAAUGGCUGUUCAUGUACCUUUAUCUUUGGAGGCUCAAUCGGAGGCUCGCUUACUUAUGUUUUCUCAUAUGAAUCUCUUGUCUCCAGCCAUUGGGGAUCCCAUUUCCGUACCAACUCAAGAUAUGCUUAUUCCUGUGCACACCACACAAACCGGCAACCCAUGAUCUUGAAGAGUUGAAAUCAAGCAAUUCUGUUUUGGUAAACUAAUUUUAUCAUUGCAUGCUUUAAAAGAUUGACCUGAUUAAGAGGAUUCAUUACAUACAAGGUAUAAGAAAGUUGCCUUAUUAUCACGUGUCAUUGGAUUAUAAGACUAGGCAAAUGGACAUCCUUACACACCAAAGAACAAUCUAAUACUAUUUUGUAAUGACUUGCUCUUUCCCGUGUAGAUAUUAUCCGUGCUAGAUCUAAUAAGUUAUCAUAAUUUAAAAAAGCGUGUACCUAAGAUUAAAGUGUCCACUGUUCAACACAGGAGAUCUUCCCUCUGAAGCCGGCAAUUGCCUGGUUGGGUGUUGCUAGUGACUAAUUUUCAAAUCAGUUUAGACUUCACAUAUUUUAAAUAAGAUGACUUGAGCUGUAUAGAAAAGGAGAUAUAUUUUCAUGCAUAGAUCCAAUCCUUCUCUUUUUUUUUUUUGGGUAGGAAUGUGGCAUGGUAUUGACAUUUUUGUUCCGACAUUGGGCUCGUGUGCUCGUGACAGACGACAGCGAGGGUACGAAGAGAGUAAAACAAUCACAGACUGCACAGGACAUGAAAAACUCAACGAGGCUAGCGUGUGCGUAUUACAAAGACAAGCAAAUUAGCUGGCGAGAAAUCUAACAGUUAUCUUCAAAUUCAUGAACUAUGGAGUUUGUGCACACUAGAAUACAACGUCAGCCACGCACAUGAAGCCAUUGAAAAGAGGGUUAGAUUUGUCUUUUGGGAAGUAAAGAAAAGAAAGGGAAUUUGAAGCCUUGUGGUACAAACUACUAAGUAACAAAGCAAGGGAUUGGGUUGUUGAAAGUUAAAACCUGAAGGUCAUACCUUUGUGCGAGCCACUUGAAUUGAAGGCCGUUGGAUCACAUGUGACAUGCCAUUGAUCUCUAAAGUUAAUCUUAUAAGUCCCUUGGACCCGUGGGAUGCUGCCUUGUCCUCAUGAGGAAUAUCUUUCCACGGGGACAUAAUAUAUCUCGAAAGCAUUAUUAACAAGACAAAGACAACAACGUCAUCUAUCCCAUUUGAAUUUAAGAUAGAUGCCUUUAUUUCAUGUACUUCUCUCACUUGCGAC